rnacentral:rRNA from 1 species
AACGAACGCUGGCGGCAUGCCUAACACAUGCAAGUCGAACGAGACCUUCGGGUCUAGUGGCGCACGGGUGCGUAACGCGUGGGAACCUGCCCUUAGGUUCGGAAUAACUCCCCGAAAGGGGUGCUAAUACCGGAUAAUGUCUUCGGACCAAAGAUUUAUCGCCUUUGGAUGGGCCCGCGUUGGAUUAGCUAGUUGGUAGGGUAAAAGCCUACCAAGGCGACGAUCCAUAGCUGGUCUGAGAGGAUGAUCAGCCACACUGGGACUGAGACACGGCCCAGACGCCUACGGGAGGAAGCAGUGGGGAAUAUUGGACAAUGGGCGAAAGCCUGAUCCAGCAAUGCCGCGUGAGUGAUGAAGGCCUUAGGGUUGUAAAGCUCUUUUACCCGGGAUGAUAAUGACAGUACCGGGAGAAUAAGCUCCGGCUAACUCCGUG